CUGAAGUCACCGCAUACAGAGGUAAGCGCGCUAAAUACAUGCAAGUCGAGCGGACAUAUGGGAGCUUGCUCCCUGAUGUUCAGCGGCGGACGGGUGAGUAACACGUGGGUAACCUGCCUGUAAGACUGGGAUAACUCCGGGAAACCGGGGCUAAUACCGGAUGCUUGAUUGAACCGCAUGGUUCAAUUAUAAAAGGUGGCUUUUACCUUACAAUUACCGGAGGGCCCGGCGGGGCCUUAACCUUAUUGGGGGAGGAACCGGGUUAACCAGGGCACCAAUCCUAACCCACCUUGAAAGGAGAACGGCCCNACUUGGACUUGAAACCCGGCCAAAAUUCUUCCGGAGGGCAGAAUUAGGAAUUUUCCCGAAUGGACCAAAGUUUGACCGAACCACCCCCGGUGAAGGAAGAAAGGUUUUCGAUUCGGAAACUUUUUUGUAGGGAAGACAAGUCCCGUCCGAAUUAGGCGGACCCUUGAAGG
rnacentral:rRNA from 1 species